rnacentral:rRNA from 1 species
GGAAUUACGGGGAGUAAAGCGUAGGCAGGCGGGUCGCUAAGUCAGGGGUGAAAUCCCGAGGCUCAACCUCGGAACUGCCGUUGAUACUGGUGAUCUUGAGUCCGGGAGAGGUGAGUGGAACUGCGAGUGUAGAGGUGAAAUUCGUAGAUAUUCGCAAGAACACCAGUGGCGAAGGCGGCUCACUGGCCCGGUACUGACGCUGAGAUACGAAAGCGUGGGGAGCAAACA